GCAGUUUAAGAUGUGAGCUCUGGCUGGAUAUGAUGGUGAGCAACUUUAAUCCCAGCAUUUGGAUUUAACUGUCAGAGGCAGUUAAAUCUCUGAAAUGGAGGGCGGCCUUGGUUACCUAGCAAGUUACAAGAGUGCCAAUGCUACAUAGAGAGAUCCUGUCUCAGUUUCCUUCUUCUCCACACAAAAAGAGACUCAAGAAUUGAAACACGCUUGGGAGAGGAUACUCAAGCAAAGCCUGCACAGCCUCUCCGAAAUAAGGCUCCCCUCAACAGCAAAUGAAAACACACCAGCAGGAGCCAGGAAGAGUUUUCAACUUAGCGAGUAAGAGCCACUUAUGAAGCCCAGACGAUGUUGUUGAUGUCAGACAUUUAGUUCAGGGGGAAGCAGGUCCUCAGAGAUCCUCAGUGUCUUGCUCAACCAUCAUCAGAGAAAAUUCUUCUCGCAACAGAUAGGAACAAAUACAGAGACCUACUGUUGUUAAUUAUGGAAUAAGGACCAGCAUGAUAGAUGGAGCACAAGCCAUCGAAAGCAUAUUAAUCAUAGUUUAUUAUCGUGAGACUGAAAGGGAGAAGACAGACAUGAUAGAGAGAGAGAAAGAUGAGAGAGAAGAGAUGAUGAGAGAGGAUGAGAUGAG